AAAACAAGGGUGGUGUUUAAAAACACCCCGGCGACGUUAGGUAGAUGAUAAUGUUGAAAAUCAGUAUCUUUAUCAGCAUAAGUAAUAAGAAAAUGUAAUACAUCUAUUGGAUUUCAUAACAGUACUUUCAAACACACGGCGGAUGUAACAGAGAAAGAGGGAAACAUCUAUUGAUGACAAUUAUGCAAAUUGAAGACCCAUUUGCAUUACUAAUAAGAAAAUGGAAAGUUCCAUAAUGGUGUAUUAUAGUAAUGCCGUCUCCGCUACGGCUCACGAAAAAUUGGAAGGCCUGACUAAAAUUCACUUACGGAAAAUAAUCACUUCCUCCGUAUCAAAUGAAAUAGAUUCCCUGCGAAUUAUGGGAGAUCAAAAUAGCCUGACCAGGCCUUACGGGAAGGAGCAUACAGACCCUAUGUAAUUGUCAGUUGUCUACGCUUUGACAACUAUGCCCCUACAGUUCCAGAAUCAGUUAGAUGGCUCAAACCUGCCCCAACAGAAGCUAUCUGCCACUUAAAUGACAAGACCAUAUCAUGUUCAGGACAAGAUUGUUAUCAACGCCGUUUAACGGUUGGCGUUCCCUAGAAAAAUUAGAAGUUUGUAAAGUUAUGAUUGUAACGCAAAGACACGAUGCAUAUGGAUCCGAAUGUAUGAGAUAAAGUGAAACAUUUAGAAAAGAACUAGACUUGAGCAGGGUGUUGUGUUGUCAUUACAGUUAGAGAAGGAAUGGGGAGUAAGGAGGAACGUAGUUUAUAUAUAUGAGGUAAAAUUGGGGCCCCCGAUAUGUCGACACAAAUCUAAAUCCGAACAGAGGACAAAGAAAUAAGGAAUUGAGUACUAUCCCGAGAUGCUUUGCGAGAGGAAGGGUCUAAAUACAGAGCACACCAUAUGCUCUCACUCGAGUUUAGCCAAGCGGGGAGUAGAAGGGCGAGCCCGGAGCCCUGAACUACAGGAUAUAGGAGACGGGUAGUUAUUUAAGAAAAGCAAGAGUGAGAUAGAGAAGGCGUCCGCACAGUCAUAUACUUGGUCAACUUGCCACUGUACAGACCUUUGGAAUUGGCCCUGAUAUAUCGUAUUCACAUUAAUUCUGGAAAUGACCUCCUAUUUUGCAUAAUUUGUAUUUCAUUUUGUACAACAUUCAUUUCAUUUGUCUAAGCUACAUACAGACCAAAAAUCAUGAAAAUCCGUUAUUUCUUUCUUGAGUAAUCGUCUUCGGAAAGUUUUGACAAAAAUUACCUUGCAAUUUCAACACCAAUCGCUGGGGGCCCAAACGUAUGCCCUUCUUUCCUAGCACAACAGCUAUCUACCAACCAUCAAUCGUAACCACGGCUUAUUCAGAACACGAGAUAUAAAAAAAAAAAAAAACAUGUUUCGCUGCAGUUCCAAGUGAAGCCGUUAUGGGCCGAAGAUUCCCGUAAUUAUUUCCGUUUUUGUCACACGCCACCAACACAGCAAAAUCAUUCACCAUUCAGCAACAGUUCUUUAGUUAUCUUGAGUUGACACAAACAAUCACAGACAUACAUACACAGGUGAAAAUAUUACACCCAUGAAUAUUUCAAAGGGUAAUAAAGCUGCUUGUCACCAUGAAAACAACACGUAUCGUAGCACGAACAUGAACAUACUAUUACCCAGUAUUUGUGUCUUAUUUAUUACCUGUAAUAUCUUUUCUGCAAGAAAUAGAAAGUUUCUGUAUUUCAGUUUAAUAAAAAAAAAACUGCUUUGAUGGUGAACCCUUGCAGGUCUUUUACGUGAUCUAUGAGAAUUCUUACGUUUGAGCCCCGCGAGCACGCACUGAUAUGUACCUGUAAGUAGUGCGUGCUCGGAGUCAUGUUUGAACCCCGUUUGAGCGUGCGUGCUCCGAGUCAUGUGAUCUUCGUUUUGCUACCUAUAGACAAGCGUCCCGGGGCACUCUGUCCCAGUUCUCCCGCCUGAUACAAACAAAAUGCCGCUACUCGAAGAAGUGUUUUUCCCGAGGAUGAUGUUUGUGCACGUAGCCGGGCCAGUAGUUUCGCCUCAAGGUAUCUGGAAGACGAGGAACCACCCCAGCUGCCCCAGGUCAGCAGCGGAGGGAUGUAUAUGAAAAGACAACCGCCGAACUUUAAUAUCAGUUGGAGACGAAACGCGGCUCGAAGAGGUCAUGGCUUCGGUAGAAGUUAGAUCAAACCGCCGUGGUCUCCAGGGCUCCAUCGACUGCCUUGCUGAUGGGAGGACUUAACCGGUCAGUGUGAUACUGACCAUACAUACUGGACACGAGUGACAACGUCAAGGUGUUCCUGACACCCGUACCUGUGUCCACCAGGACGACGCAGUUCCGCCACAACGUGCACAGGGACUCCUACCACGACAGGGAAAGUCAGUGGAGUCCGUGCAAGUCAGUGAGACGAGCUGCAUCACUGAAGGAGCCGGAAUAGACGUCCGUGUGCCUUAUAAAGUCGGGAAGGAGCUACAAAUCACCCAGAACAGCGCCGUCGACAGGAGGAAGAUAAUGAGAGGGGAGUGCCAGACCAGUAGCAGAUCUAGAAUAGCCAAUUGAUAGCGCUGCUACAACCAUAGUGAACCUAAAACUAGUUAGAGAAUUCACGGACUAGUUUUGAGGUGAUUUAUACCAUUACUGUGCAUUUUAGUGUACUGGGUAUACAUUGCAGUAGUAGUUGAUUGUGCAUGUGUAUCAAAGAACCGUACAUAAGGUUAACCUCAGCGACGACGGACCGAAUCAAACCGGAGAUGGAUGUAGUAAAGGUGAGAACCGCCAUAGGAAUGUUCAGUACAAUUAUUCUGUAUCCAACCUGUGACCGAAGUUAGCGGGGUCAGCAUUAUGUAGUAACAUCAAAACACUUAAACAGUCUCCCGUGCCAAGUGUACGGAAAACCUUG